GUGGGCUAUGGGGACAUGAGGCCCGUCACAGUAGGGGGCAAGAUCGUGGGCUCGCUGUGCGCCAUCGCUGGCGUCCUCACCAUCGCCCUGCCAGUGCCAGUCAUCGUCUCCAAC
rfam:Camelus ferus unplaced genomic scaffold scaffold216, whole genome shotgun sequence.